rnacentral:rRNA from 1 species
GAUCAUCGAAUCUUUGAACGCACAUUGCGCCCUUCGGUAUUCCGUUGGGCAUGCCUGUUCGAGCGUCAUUUAAACAUUCAAGCCCAGCUUGGUGUUGGGUGCUUGUCCUCCCCCGCGGUGGACUCACCUCAAAUGCAUUGGCGGCCGGUAUGUUGGCUUCGAGCGUAGUAGAAACGCGCCAGACGUCCUGACAUGCUGGUCCCCCACAAGACCAUUCUUUUAGCUUGACCUCGGAUCAGGUAGGGAUACCCGCUGAACUUAAGCAUAUCAAUAAGCGGAGGAAAAGAAACCAACAGGGAUUGCCCUAGUAACGGCGAGUGAAGCGGCAACAGCUCAAAUUUGAAAUCUGGCCCUUUCAGGGUCCGAGUUGUAAUUUGUAGAGGGCGCUUUGGUGUUGGCUGCGGUCUAAGUUCCUUGGAACAGGACGUCACAGAGGGUGAGAAUCCCGUACGUGGUCGACAGUCUUCACCGUGUAAAGCCCCUUCGACGAGUCGAGUUGUUUGGGAAUGCAGCUCUAAAUGGGAGGUAAAUUUCUUCUAAAGCUAAAUAUUGGCCAGAGACCGAUAGCGCACAAGUAGAGUGAUCGAAAGAUGAAAAGCACUUUGGAAAGAGAGUCAAAAAGCACGUGAAAUUGUUGAAAGGGAAGCGCUUGCAAUCAGACUUGCCUGUAGUUGCUCAUCUGGACUUUUGUCCGGUGCACUCUUCUGCGGGCAGGCCAGCAUCAGUUCAGGCGGCUGGAUAAAGGCCUCUAUCACGUAUCUUCCUUCGGGAUGACCUUAUAGGGGAGGUGUAAUGCAGCCAGCCUGGAUUGAGGUCCGCGCAUCUGCUAGGAUGCUGGCGUAAUGAUUGUAAGCGGCCCGUCUUGAAACACGAAGCGGCCCGUCUUGAAACACGGACCAAGGAGUCUAACAUCUAUGCGAGUGUUUGGGUGUCAAGCCCGGACGCGCAAUGAAAGUGAACGGAGGUGGGAACCCUUACGGGUGCACCAUCGACCGAUCCUGAUGUCUUCGGAUGGAUUUGAGUAAGAGCAUAGCUGUUGGGACCCGAAAGAUGGUGAACUAUGCCUGAAUAGGGUGAAGCCA